UAGUCCACACCGUAAACGCUGUCUACUAGCUGUUUGUGAAUUUAAUUCGUGAGUAGCGAAGCUAACGCGAUAAGUAGACCGCCUGGGGAGUACGGCCGCAAGGUUAAAACUCAAAUGAAUUGACGGGGGCCCGCACAAGCGGUGGAGCAUGUGGUUUAAUUCGAUGCAACGCGAAGAACCUUACCUACUCUUGACAUACUGAGAACUUAGUAGAGAUACUUUGGUGCCUUCGGGAACUCAGAUACAGGUGCUGCAUGGCUGUCGUCAGCUCGUGUCGUGAGAUGUUGGGUUAAGUCCCGCAACGAGCGCAACCCUUGUCCUUAGUUACCAGCAUUGAGUUGGGUACUUUAAGGAGACUGCCGGUGACAAACCGGNGGAAGGUGGGGACGACGUCAAGUCAUCACGGCCCUUACGAGUAGGGGCUACACACGUGCUACAAUGGCGAGUACAGAGGGGAAGCGAACUUGUGA
rnacentral:rRNA from 1 species